CAUGAGGGAUUCCACAGUGAUUCCCCAGAGGAACCACAGAGUUGGGAUGAGGACAGUGCAAGUGUGAGAGUGCUGGGUGUGAGGGUGCUGGGUGUGAGGGCACCAGGUGUGAGGGUGCUGGGUGUGAGGGCACCAGGUGUGAGGGUGCUGGUUGCGAGGGCACCAGGUGUGAGGGUGCUGGGUGCGAGGGCACCAGGUGAGAGGGUGCUGGGUGUGAGGGCACCACGUGUGAGGGUGCUGGGUGCGAGGGCACCAGGUGUGAGGGUGCUGGUUGCGAGGGCACCAGGUGUGAGGGUGCUGGGUGCGAGGGCACCAGGUGAGAGGGUGCUGGGUGUGAGGGCACCACGUGUGAGGGUGCUGGGUGUGAGGGCACCAGGUGUGAGGGUGCUGGCUGUGAGGGCACCAGGUGAGAGGGUGCUGGGUGCGAGGGCACCAGGUGAGAGGGUGCUGGGUGCGAGGGCACCGGGUGUGAGGGUGCUGGGUGCGAGGGCACCGGGUGUGAGGGUGCUGGGUGUGAGGGCACCGGGUGAGAGGGUGCUGGGUGCGAGGGCACCAGGUGUGAGGGUGCUGGGUGCAUGCAAGGAUCUUGCCCAGGAGGGAAGAGAGCUUUUGAUUGACAGGAGGGAAACAUCCUCUCAGAAGUCAAGGGAUGGCCAGAGUGUAGUUAAUGUGUUGCCAAAGGAUCCUUGUGUCCUCAUGAGCUCAGAGAGUGAGGCAUGAGAACUUGAGGUAGGCCGCAGUAGUGUUGGCCGUGGUGGCCAUGCAAACAUAAUGAACAGAGUGACAAGCAGAGUGGAGGAUCUUUAGGACC
rnacentral:lncRNA from 1 species